AGAUUUGGAUUGUCUUACCGAGGACAUUAUCAUUGGUAAAUAGACUUCCUUUUGUGGAAGCUCCGAUUUUGUGGAUUUUUCUUAGAGAUUGAACCCAUUGAAGGUAACAUAGCUGGAUUCAGGCCACCUCCAAAAGUUGGAGCUUUUUGUCCUCUCGUAAGGCAGGGAAGGAUGCUGGAGCUUUUUGUCCACUUCUUUUUAAUUCUUAUGGCAUGGGACAAUUGUUUAUCAAAUUCUGAUGUGUGGAUCAGAGCCUUCGGAUUUUUGGAAACAGAAGUGAGGAGUUCUCUCAUCAUGGCGCAAAAUAAAUAGCUAAACAUGUUGAAUAGAUUCCUGAAAAUGUGACUCUUAAAGAUUUAUGCGAUUAGACUAUGUCUUGCCACAUAGUGCUUUUGGAUUGUUGAUUUUGAUGGAUUGUAAUUUCAAUUGCCCAUUUUAGGGAUUGUUACUUUUG